AUUGAACGCUGGCGGCAGGCUUAACACAUGCAAGUCGAACGAGUGGCGGACGGGUGAGUCAUGCUUGGGCAUCUAGCUUCUUGAGGGGGAUCACUUCGGGACACGGUAGCUAAUACCGCGUACCAUCGGAUGAGCCCAUGUGGGAUUAGGUAGUUGGUGGGGUAAUGGCGCACCAAGUCGACGAUCUCUAGCUGGUCUGAGAGGAUGACAAGCCACACUGGAACGGAGACAAGGCCCAGACUCCUACGGGAGGCAGCAGUGGGGAAUAUUGCGCAAUGGGGGGAACCUGACGCAGCCAGGCCGCGUGUGUGAAGAAGGCCUUCGGGUUGGAAAGUUCGUUUGGUAGGGAGGCGUUACCUACAGAAGAAGCACCGGCUAACUCCGUGCCAGCAGCCGCGGUAAUAC
rnacentral:rRNA from 1 species